UACGUAGGGGCCUAGCGUUGUCCGGAUUUAUUGGGCGUAAAGAGCUCGUAGGCGGUUUGGUGAGUCGGGUGUGAAAUCUCCACGCUCAACGUGGAGGGGCCACCCGAUACUGCCAUGACUAGAGUCCGGUAGGGGAGUGUGGAAUUCCCGGUGUAGCGGUGAAAUGCGCAGAUAUCGGGAGGAACACCCGUAGCGAAGGCGGUUCUCUGGGCCAAUACUGACGCUGAGGAGCGAAAGCGUGGGGAGCAAACAGG
rnacentral:rRNA from 1 species